GGUUAAGCGACUAAGCGUACACGGUGGAUGCCCUGGCAGUCAGAGGCGAUGAAGGACGUGCUAAUCUGCGAUAAGCGUCGGUAAGGUGAUAUGAACCGUUAUAACCGGCGAUUUCCGAAUGGGGAAACCCAGUGUGAUUCGUCACACUAUCAUUACGUGAAUACAUAGCGUAAUGAAGCGAACCGGGGGAACUGAAACAUCUAAGUACCCCGAGGAAAAGAAAUCAACCGAGAUUCCCCCAGUAGCGGCGAGCGAACGGGGAGCAGCCCAGAGUCUGAAUCAGCUUGUGUGUUAGUGGAACGGUCUGGAAAGUCCGACGGUACAGGGUGAUAGUCCCGUACACCAAAAUGCACAGGUUGUGAACUCGAAGAGUAGGGCGGGACACGUGGUAUCCUGUCUGAAUAUGGGGGGACCAUCCUCCAAGGCUAAAUACUCCUGACUGACCGAUAGUGAACCAGUACCGUGAGGGAAAGGCGAAAAGAACCCCGGCGAGGGGAGUGAAAAAGAACCUGAAACCGUGUACGUACAAGCAGUGGGAGCCUCUUUAUGGGGUGACUGCGUACCUUUUGUAUAAUGGGUCAGCGACUUAUAUUCUGUAGCAAGGUUAACCGUAUAGGGGAGCCGAAGGGAAACCGAGUCUUAACUGGGCGUUAAGUUGCAGGGUAUAGACCCGAAACCCGGUGAUCUAGCCAUGGGCAGGUUGAAGGUUGGGUAACACUAACUGGAGGACCGAACCGACUAAUGUUGAAAAAUUAGCGGAUGACUUGUGGCUGGGGGUGAAAGGCCAAUCAAACCGGGAGAUAGCUGGUUCUCCCCGAAAGCUAUUUAGGUAGCGCCUCGUGAAUUCAUCUUCGGGGGUAGAGCACUGUUUCGGCUAGGGGGUCAUCCCGACUUACCAACCCGAUGCAAACUGCGAAUACCGAAGAAUGUUAUCACGGGAGACACACGGCGGGUGCUAACGUCCGUCGUGAAGAGGGAAACAACCCAGACCGCCAGCUAAGGUCCCAAAGUCAUGGUUAAGUGGGAAACGAUGUGGGAAGGCACAGACAGCCAGGAUGUUGGCUUAGAAGCAGCCAUCAUUUAAAGAAAGCGUAAUAGCUCACUGGUCGAGUCGGCCUGCGCGGAAGAUGUAACGGGGCUAAACCAUGCACCGAAGCUGCGGCAGCGACACUAUGUGUUGUUGGGUAGGGGAGCGUUCUGUAAGCCGUUGAAGGUGUAUCGUGAGGUAUGCUGGAGGUAUCAGAAGUGCGAAUGCUGACAUAAGUAACGAUAAUGCGGGUGAAAAACCCGCACGCCGGAAGACCAAGGGUUCCUGUCCAACGUUAAUCGGGGCAGGGUGAGUCGACCCCUAAGGCGAGGCCGAAAGGCGUAGUCGAUGGGAAACAGGUUAAUAUUCCUGUACUUGGUGUUACUGCGAAGGGGGGACGGAGAAGGCUAUGUUAGCCGGGCGACGGUUGUCCCGGUUUAAGCAUGUAGGCGGAGGUUCCAGGUAAAUCCGGUACCUUUUAACGCUGAGGUGUGAUGACGAGGCACUACGGUGCUGAAGUAACAAAUGCCCUGCUUCCAGGAAAAGCCUCUAAGCAUCAGGUAACACGAAAUCGUACCCCAAACCGACACAGGUGGUCAGGUAGAGAAUACCAAGGCGCUUGAGAGAACUCGGGUGAAGGAACUAGGCAAAAUGGUGCCGUAACUUCGGGAGAAGGCACGCUGAUAUGUAGGUGAAGUGAUUUACUCAUGGAGCUGAAAUCAGUCGAAGAUACCAGCUGGCUGCAACUGUUUAUUAAAAACACAGCACUGUGCAAACACGAAAGUGGACGUAUACGGUGUGACGCCUGCCCGGUGCCGGAAGGUUAAUUGAUGGGGUUAUCCGUAAGGAGAAGCUCUUGAUCGAAGCCCCGGUAAACGGCGGCCGUAACUAUAACGGUCCUAAGGUAGCGAAAUUCCUUGUCGGGUAAGUUCCGACCUGCACGAAUGGCGUAAUGAUGGCCAGGCUGUCUCCACCCGAGACUCAGUGAAAUUGAACUCGCUGUGAAGAUGCAGUGUACCCGCGGCAAGACGGAAAGACCCCGUGAACCUUUACUAUAGCUUGACACUGAACACUGGUCCUUGAUGUGUAGGAUAGGUGGGAGGCUUUGAAGUGUGGACGCCAGUCUGCAUGGAGCCAUCCUUGAAAUACCACCCUUUAAUGGCUGGUGUUCUAACGUGGACCCGUAAUCCGGGUUGCGGACAGUGUCUGGUGGGUAGUUUGACUGGGGCGGUCUCCUCCUAAAGAGUAACGGAGGAGCACGAAGGUUAGCUAAUCCUGGUCGGACAUCAGGAGGUUAGUGCAAAGGCAUAAGCUAGCUUGACUGCGAGAGUGACGGCUCGAGCAGGUGCGAAAGCAGGUCUUAGUGAUCCGGUGGUUCUGAAUGGAAGGGCCAUCGCUCAACGGAUAAAAGGUACUCCGGGGAUAACAGGCUGAUACCGCCCAAGAGUUCAUAUCGACGGCGGUGUUUGGCACCUCGAUGUCGGCUCAUCACAUCCUGGGGCUGAAGUAGGUCCCAAGGGUAUGGCUGUUCGCCAUUUAAAGUGGUACGCGAGCUGGGUUUAGAACGUCGUGAGACAGUUCGGUCCCUAUCUGCCGUGGGCGCUGGAGAAUUGAGGGGGGCUGCUCCUAGUACGAGAGGACCGGAGUGGACGCAUCACUGGUGUUCGGGUUGUCAUGCCAAUGGCAUUGCCCGGUAGCUAAAUGCGGAAGAGAUAAGUGCUGAAAGCAUCUAAGCACGAAACUUGCCCCGAGAUGAGUUCUCCCUGAGACUUAAAGUCUCCUGAAGGAACGUUAAAGACGAUGACGUUGAUAGGUCGGGUGUGUAAGUGUAGCGAUACAUUGAGCUAACCGAUACUAAUGAACCGUGAGGCUUAACCUU
rnacentral:rRNA from 1 species